rnacentral:rRNA from 1 species
UACGUAGGGUGCAAGCGUUAAUCGGAAUUACUGGGCGUAAAGCGUGCGCAGGCGGUUGUGCAAGACAGAUGUGAAAUCCCCGGGCUUAACCUGGGAACUGCAUUUGUGACUGCACGGCUAGAGUGUGUCAGAGGGGGGUAGAAUUCCACGUGUAGCAGUGAAAUUCGUAGAUAUUGGGAAGAACACCGGUGGCGAAGGCGGCUCUCUGGACCGAUACUGACGCUGAGGCGCGAAAGCGUGGGGAGCGAACAGG